GGGGAAGCCUGAGUUUCUUCUCGUGAAAGAAGGAAAAAUGUAUAGGAAAUAGGCCUGUCAACGAACAGAGACUGGAUUUGUACGGUUUUAAGCUAUAUCAAGGAAAUAACUUACUUAUUUCAACCAAGACACAUCAGGAAAUAGUCGUUCCUCGGACGUUCUCUGCCAGAAUUAGAUUGAGAGAUCAUUCACAGCUUUGUGGAAGUUACCUGUGGCGUUGAUGUUAAGGCCAAGGCUCCAGGUCAGUGGGUGUAGUGGAGUAGAGGCAUCCCAGGGAGGAGUGAGAUUCUGGGGAUGAGAGGUACCUCCUCCCUCCCUGUCUCCCGCAGAGAAUCAGGAGAACACUGGGACUCACUAACAGGUAGAAACGGAAAGGAACGGUUGCUGGCCGGAAGGAGCAGGAGAGAGAAAAUGGGAUGAAGAGACAAAGGGAUACAACAAGAUAAGUAAUGGUGGGAUGGAGGA
ensembl:lncRNA